ACCGAGUCAAUGCCAUUAAGGCCGACGGUCCCAAGUCUGCGUUUAAAGUGGUAAAACCCCUUAAUCUUUCUCAUUUUUCACAGGACAAACGACCCUUAGCGUGAGAAGGGUUUCCCUCUUGAGGAAACCCUAGCCGCCAUGGCAAUCCUCAUCUCUCUCCUUGUCAUCUAUGUCGAAUCUAGCAAAGAUGAGGGUCCACCUAGGUUUUACAGUUGUAAGAUUGGUCAAGAAUGGCAAGAGCAUUAAAUGCUCUGCCAUUUCUCACCUAUCACCACCCAAAGAUUCACCCUAAACACGGUAGACAGUGAGGUGGCCCAGAUUCCUAGGAGCUACUCACCAGAUUUAUAGGAGCACUCCACUAUUCCGGAGGUGCCAUUUUUGUUACAUUAUUUUGUGUACAUAUUUGGGGCACGAUGGGGUCCUGUCCCGUCCUUAUGUCUUAGUACUCUAGUAGAGGCUCGUAGAUACGUACGCGUGGGUAGCAGUUGUCUCAUGGAUAUACCAGUGUAUAUUUUUGUAUAUCAUUUUUGUAGCCGUGAGAGCUUAUAUGUAUAUAUAUAUAUCUAUAUAUGUAUGUGUUGCCUUGGAGAUUGUGUAUGUUCGGGUUGGGUAAGAUGAUUAGCAUAAUGAGAGGUGCUCGGUAGUCAGCUCCGGGUACCCGUCAUGGCCCCCUAGUCGGGUCGGGACAGUAGUAGUCAGUCAAAGUCGUAGGCUUGUAUGUUAGCCAUUUUGGCAACUUUUUUAUACUUAAGACUAUUUUUAGUACUUACGUAGUUCAUGAUUUAUUCAAUAAGUUUUUUAGAAGAUCAGCAUGUGUUAGUUUUAUUUCCACAUUCAGGAUGUUUUGAUAUUACAUGUUGAUUCAGCCAGCCAGUUGGUUCGCUUGGUCAAUUAUAGUCAGGCACCGAGUGCCGUGUUACGUCCAGGCCCAGGUUCGGGGUGUGAUAAUCUCGAUUUUCUGUCAUGUGCUCCUUUUUUUUUGCUCUCCAUGAAAAAAUCUCAUUCUUGAAGUUUGAUUUUCCAUAGAAUGAACACCCUCUGUGUUGAUCAUUGUAUAAGCAAGGAAUUCUACCUUUGAUUCUUUCAUGUCGUUGUCUGAUUCAUCAGAUAUGGCCCUUAGUUUUGAAUGGUCUUCUUUCGCUUCGUGUUUUAGCAAGUACUUAUAUAGAUCUACUAUCAACAUGGCACUUAUUUCAUAGGCUAGUCUUAUGGCCAGGACCUUCAGAUCCCAAGAAGGAGAAAGGCUCCUUAGGAUUUUUUUGACGAAAUCUUCGUUUGAGAAUGUCUUGCCAAGUGCUGUGGGAUUCCUGACAAUGGUUAAAAGUCUAUCAAAUACAUCUCUGAUUGAUUCCCUCCUUCUCAUAGCAAAUAGUUUUUAUCUUCUCAUAAGUGUAUUCAAUCUGAUCUGCUUGUCUUUAGUCAUAUCCUCGUAAAUUUGAGUUAGCAGAUCCCAGAUUUCUUUGGCACUCAAGCAUCCUGAGACACUGAUUCUUUCCUAUGCUGCAAUGCAUAAUGUUUAGUGCUCUAUUAUUUAGCUCUAAUAUUACAACAUCUUCAGCCGUGAAUUUCUCCUUAGUCUUGUGUCCUCUAGUUCCAUCAUGCGCGAUCUUUACGGGAAUUAGUGGUCCGUUCAUCGUAAUUAACCAUAACCUGUAGUCCAGAACCUUUAGAUAAGUAUGCAUGUGACAUAUUUCUCACCAUUAAAGAGAGGAAGCUUAGAGAUUGAUUCCCUUCUAUUUUUUCUGGAAGGUUAUGCAUCCAUUCUGAUCUUCUCUUAAUCUUUUAACCUCCGUAGAGAGAACCUCGCUCUGAUACCACUUGUUAGGUUGCACGACCUACUGCCUAUCCUCUGCGUAUCCAUUUCUCCCUUACGUGGAAAUUACCCAGCUCAAAAGGUGAUAAAAAACACGACCUACAGACCUGUAGGAUUCCCCAACAACUUCACUACAACAAUGAGCUAACUGUAAAUUAAGUUACAAACUUUGCAGCCUAAUUCCUACAAUAGCCUUGCUACCUACACUCUGACUAGUAAGCUAUCAUCAAGCUAGACUCUAACUUGAAGUUACAAUGCUUGUAUCUACCUUAAUGCUUCUAUGUGAGCAGAUAAAAAUACAACUCGGUAAACUAACUUAAUACAAGAUAUCUAGACUUGUGAACUGGAGAACAUUGUGCAGUACAAUAGUUCCUUCAAUCCUUCCUCUGGUACUAGGGACGUAACCCUGAAUUCAUGAAUAUUCUUGGAUAUAACUUCUUUGCUUAAUAUUCUGAAUUCUCUCUUUGUGGGUGUGCAAACUUGUUCUUGGAAAGACCUGGGUAUUUAUAACAAUAUGCUCCGCAGGUCAGUGAAUAUAAAACCCUUUCCUAGUCGGUCAAUGACAUGCACGUAGGGUUUGUGUAGUACUUGGAUUCUUACCUUGUUCAGUCUGGUUCUAAUACGUGUAGAGAGCUUACUAAUCCCAACAAAUAUGGCAAGGAAUCUUUCAUACUCUACUGCCAAGUUAUUUCCAUAACUCUGCAAAUCCUAGUUGUUGUAGGACUUGCCCUGGAAUAUGAUCACGUGCUUGUUUCAUCCACCUUGUUCGUCUGCCUCUGAAUCUCUGCACUGUUUGAGAUAGAACUUUUUCAUGUACCUGUUCCACCAAUCUCUUUCAUUUUUCAUCUGCCGUUGAACUACUCUUGAGAUCUUGACUGGAAUAUGUUGACAGAACUGUUUCAUAUAACUAUAAGCUCUGUGUCUGCAACUGGUCUUCUCCCCUUUUUCACCACUCUACCACAUAUCACUUUUUACUCUGAUGUGUCAUUACUCUGUAUUGGAACAUGUUUCCAGACUCAUUUUAUCUGUUUAACCUGAUUCAUGUGCCUUGUCUAAAACCAUUUGGUUGACAAUUUCUUUUAAACCUUGUCUUCUGAUAGCCUGAGUCACCUUCACCUUCUCUUCUCAUGAUCUCCUCGUUUCUAGGUCAUUCAUCCACUGCAUUUGUUGACUCUGAUGGAACAUGUAUUUGGACAAUUCACUCUCUCUCUGAUCUACUUCAUUGCACUUGUCUUUGUAUUGACCCACAUGUUUUUAUUGUAGGCUCAUGUAUAUGCUCCGGUGCAAUGGAAAGGGUCUAUGGACCUAUUCUAACCAUCCUGUGCGACCUUCCUUUUUACACCUUUUACAUUACUGAAGCCUCUGCUUUUUCACAAACAACUGUCUAGCUUUGUUCAAUUGUAACGUGUAUCUUGACCUAAUUAAUUCACUGUGCUUUCUUGCUUGGAACAUUACUGUCAUUUUUCAUCUGCUUUACCGUGUUUGUAUGCUGGUUUUCUUGUUCUAAGUCUUGCUUUGUCAAUCAUCAAAACUUCACAUAUGGCUGUAUGCCAACAAAUUCCCCCUUUUUGAUGAUGACAAACACUAACUGUGUAACCUGUUCUGUCCAUCAUUUAUUCCAGAUUUUCUCAACAUAAACAAAUUUAGCAUGAGUCAAAAAGCAUUAAUGCAUAGUUAAUUAAUCUUCCUCCUUUUGACAUCAUUAAAAAGAUAAUCUCAAAGUGAUUAGGUGAUUUUCAAUAUUAAACCCAUAGCCACUGGGCUAUGGCAAAUGCACAAAAUAAGAACAGUCACUCAUUUUAGUCAAAACAUUUGAGUUGCAUAGAUGAGGCAUGGAUAUGUACGAUAUGUAAUGAUUAGUCAAAAUAUCUUUUUAUUAGUAUCAACGAGUACAAUUUUAGUCCCUUGAUUUCAAUUACAUUCAUCAGAUCAUUUUGACUUAACUGGGAGCUUAGAUGCUAAGAAUUUUUCUUGGGCACAUUCCAGGAGGUCCUAACUAAUGGGUGUUUAGAGGUUUUGUCUACAAGGUUAGUGUCAUUGGCCGAACAAGAGCUCAUCUUGCAUAAUAUAUUCCUCUCAGAAUACCUUCUGGCACUUGUAGCUCAAUAUUCAAAUCAUGCUCCAUUCCUUACCCCAGGAAGAUCCACCAUUUUCUUUAGAUGGUUCUUCUUUGUUUUAUCCUUCCUUAUUUCUCAACGAAGCCUUACGUCUUCAUCACUCAUUUUUCCCAUUAAAUUGACAAUGUCAAUCUAAACCAAUCUUGCAACCUCAACCAAUUCUUUUUCUUGAAGAGUCGUUGCUUUACUCAUUCUUCUCUCACUCUCCCCUAUUUCAGAGAUUUUAACACAUUCCCCUUUUUUAUGUGCUCCAACUAAUUUCCUUUCUUCUUUCACCUGCACUAUAGGUAUAUUCAUUUAUAUAAUCAGAAGAGGUGGUUUAGGGAAAGAUAGCUGGAGAGUAUACAUUAAGAUUGAGUGGUUUUGUGAGUGUAUGGGAAAAAGGUUACUCCGAGAAUGUAGACAUUUUAAAAUUUUUUAUUUGGUUUCAAGGUGAAGUCUUGGUGAGAGUAAGGAAAUUUGUGGCUGGUUUUAAAUAGCCGUGAUAGCAGAACGAAGGUUGUGUGAACUGUCACUUAAAGAGUCUUCUUGGGAAAGGCUAAUAAUUUGACCGUGAUAGGUUUUCAAGAAGGUCAUCAUGACCAAUUUUUCACUUCUCAACACACACUUAAUGACAACUAUAGUUGGCUUCGAUAAUGACAACAGGUUGUUUGAGUUGUUCCAUGAUCUGAUUUGUUAAUUGACUGCAAGAGACAGAAAGUAGACCUAAUAUGUAAAUGGCUAACCAUAUACAAUCUUUAAUAAUAAUUCUAGUUCUGUGACAGUCACUAUGUUCGACUUUAAAGAGAUCAUGAACCUAUUAGGGAAUAGGACAUACAACUAAAUGUACAAGACUGAGUAAAAUAUUUUAAUUGCAUUUAAACUGACAGAGUCAGAGACAUCAUUUCUAGCCAAUUUUAAGGAACAAUGUGUAGCUUUAAUUAUUCUCAAUACUAAUCAUAAUUAUUCCUCUUCACCCUUUUUAGUCACUACUUCAAUAUAAUCAACAAAGAAACUUUUCAGCAUAUUAUUAUUGUUUGUGUAUAUUAUGUAACCUGUUGUAGUCAUCUAAUGUCCUUAUUUGUUGAUGUUCUAGUGAGAAUUUGAUCACUUUAGCACUUCGCUGGAUUAGGUUGAACUACUUGUUCCAGUUGAUUAUCCUUGUUCUAUAUGAUGGAACAAGUUUUUUGAUCUGUUUCAUGGUCACCUAAGUACCUCCCAUUUUGAGUAUGUUCUUCUCUUUUAGGCCGUUGCUCUCCUCUUUUCUCCUCUUCUUCUUAUCACUUAUCUCUGCUCUUUCAUCAUCCUUUAGUAAAUCUCAUCUUUCUUCAAAGUUCUGCAAUUUUUCCCUCUCAUAUUAAGCCCUGUGUGAUUCCUUGAUUUUAUCCUUCCCAUUUCUAUCAUAAGGGUGAACACAAUUUCUGAUUUAUUUCGGCUAUAAUAUCUUAAGAAAUCCUUUGCAUGUAUCGUUGUUUUGCUUGUUUUCUGUCACUCUUCCCUUCAUAGAUGAUCAGAGGUUAGUCUUCCAACCCUUACCUGGCUUGGGUCCCUUUCUUUUACCAUUCUUUGUUGGGUGUCUUUUCUACAUCUUCCAGCUUUAUCCCUCUUAGAAUAAGUUCGACAUCUGCGGUCAGCUUUAGAGCUUCAGCUUGGAAGGCUGCGAUGGUUGAGCCAAGUUAAGCAACCAGUUCCUUCAGUGAGAAAUUUUCCAUAUUCGUUUAAUUUUGGCUCUUAUUUAUACUCCUAGACCCUUUUGUUAGCCUGACAAUUGUCCCAGGAAACUCAGCUCUUUCACUGCUCAUGUUUCAAUACUCCUCACUUAAUGUUACAUCCCGUACUUUUAUAUGUAAAGUUUCGUCGUGAGUUAGUUGACGAAGACUUAAAAGGCGAGGUUGUCGUCAAGGUCAUAAGGAAUUAUUCAUGUUCAUUCUUCAUACAGGAGAGCUUGGUAUCAUGUUUAGUAAGUAUCGGGAAGGUUGGAUGUUAAGCGGAUCGAAGAAAUUAAAUUUUGUUGAAACUUUGGGAAAAUUUGGAAGAAUUCCUGACAGAAAUUUUGGGUCAUAUUGUGAGGGCCAUAUCUCCUAGAAUAUAAGGAGUUACGGAACCCAUAACCAUGCAUUCAUAAGGUCAGCGAGUCGACUUUCCAACGCAACUGACAGAUCUGAAUUUUCAUAUCGACGGUGGGAGUUAUGGGCCGUCGAAGUGUCGACGACCCGUCGAUGCACAUCGACGACCCAUCAGAUUUCAGGCGUUGUAGCUGUUCUAUAUAAGCACCCAUUUCGUGAUUUUUUCAUUCUAACCCACACCAACAGACCCUAAACACUCUCUAAUAUUCAUCUAUCCUCUCCAAGCCUUUCUUUAUCAUCCAAGUAAGAUCCGUGCCCCGAAAACCCGCGCUAGUGAAAGGAAAGUUGCCCCUAGGGUUUCUAUUUGAAGUUGUUGAGUUUAGGAGUGGAUUUGGAGUUUGGUUCUUGGAAUUUCAGCCCCUUUAAGGUAUGAAUACUAUUCUUAUCUUUGCUAUUAAGUUGAUUACCGAGAGUUUUAGUGAUUUAAAGUAAAGAAAAUAUAGUUAUGGAAGCGGUGAGUUAUUUGAAUGAAACUAAGAGUUGGGGUUGUUUUGGGAGACGUUUUAGCAUGGAUUUGAUUAUGUUGUGAUAUGAAAGUAUUGACAUAAGUUGUUUGUGAAGGAAUUCCUUAGUUUAAAAGUAAAGGAAAACAUGAUAUAAAGGACCUAAACUAGUUUGUUGAUGUGAUUGCCUUAAUGGCUGUUUCGAUUGGAAUUUUGGAGAGAUUUCUACUUUUUUAUAUUGUUGUUGUUGUUGUUGAUGAUGAUGAUGAUGUUUUGGGUGUUGUGCCCUGUUUGGGAGUUGGAUAGGAGUAAGAAUUACAGGGGAAGUGCUGCCCGAAUUUCGUUAAGUUUCAUUUGUACUUGGAAUGGGUAGUAAGGGACGUAUAUGGCCUAUUUGCAAUUCGUGUUAUCUUGGUUGUAGUGUUGCAAGCUCGGGAAGUACGCAUCGGACAUUAGGUAGACUCCAAGGUAUGUUAAGGCUAUCCCUUUUAUUCUUUUGGCAUGAUCCUUAUUAUUUGAACGAACAAGUAAGCGAGCGAGUUCCAAAGACUCUACUCUUAGAUGGUACAUGAUUCAUCAUACCCUUGAUUUCUUAUAUCCAUGUUCAUGACUUCAAUAGAUCUUUGCAUUUAGGGUAAUCUUGAGUAUGUCUUUCUUGAGUCUUUUAAGUAUUAUAUAUAUAUAUAUAUAUAUAUACACACACACACAGAUAAACACAGCUAUUUUCUCGUACCGUGCCUAGAUGGCCAGACAUGUCACCGCUAAUGCGGGCUGCAUACGAUUCUACAGCGCCUAGAUGGCCGGACAUGUCACCGCUAAUGCGGGCUGCUUAACGAUAUAUGAACCAAGCCGUACGGUCCACAGCACUAUGAGUUAUAUUAUUUUUACAGAGUGCAUACAUAUCAUAUACCGCAUAAGUAUCUUCAAUCAUACAGAUGCAUUCAGACAGUCAGUUUGUUAUGAGUUUUAGAUCCCUUUUAUGAUUCUUAUAUAUAUAUGUUAUUCUUAUGCCUUACAUACUCGGUACAUUAUCCGUACUGACUCCCCUGUUGUUCGGGGGGCUGCGUUCAUGCCCGCUGGUACUGAUAGACAGGGAGACAAUCCGGCUCAGUAGGACUUCCCCUCAGCCAUAGUUGGCGCGCUUCACUUGAUCUGGAGCUGCGGUUCAUUUUGGUAUGCUGUUUUGAGAUGUAUAUACAUGUAUAUGGGUAUGGCGGGGCCCUGUCCCGUCCUUUCUACAGCUUUCUGUUCCAUUAGAGGUCUAUAGACAGUGGUAUGUAGUUGGUACAUGAUGUAGCAUUGUCGGCUCUCAUUCUUUUGUGUAUAGUAUCUAUAUAGCAGCCUAGUCGGCUUGCACUCUUAUUUUGCAUAUAUAUAUAUAUACAGUUGGAUAUGAAUCACAUUUGGGCCACCUUGUUGUUAUGUGAUAGUUAAGCAGGUAUAUGGGUGUCUUGUCAUUAGAGGUCAGCUACUCGUCAUGACUCAUCGGCUUGGGUCAUGACACUUAACUUUAUUACCAGUGUCAUGAGCUUGUCUCUAGGAAUAUCAUCAAGCCUUCUAAGAUCAAGAGUACCUUCACAGAUAUCUUUCUCAAUGCUAGAGUCUGAAUCUUUAAUGUCUAUGAGAGCUUUGUAAUAUUCUUCAACCAAUUCUUUCUUGGACCCUUUAUCUCAAUGUUGUUGUUAUGUGCUCCUUUUUUUUUUUUUUUUGCUCUCCAUGAAAAAUUCCCAUUCUUUGAGUUUGAUUUUCCGUAGACUGAACACCCUUUGUGUCGAUCAUUAUAAGUAAGGAAUUCUACUUUUGAUUCCUCCAUGUUGCUGUUUGAUAUAUCAGAUAUGGCCCUUAGAUUUGAAUGGUCUUCUUUCGCCUCCUGUGUUAGCAAGUACUUAUAUAGAUCUACUAUCAACAUGGUAUUUAUUUCACAGGCUACUCUUAUGGCCAUGACUUUUAGAUCCCAAGAAGGAGAAAGGCUUCUUAGGUUUUUUUCGACUAAAUCUUGGUUUGAGAAGGUCUUGCCAAGUGUUGUAAGAUUCUGACAAUGUUGGCAAGUCUGUCAAACAUAUCUCUGAUUGAUUCCCUCCUUUUCAUGGCAAAUAGUUUGUAUCUUCUCACAAGCGUAUUCAAUCUGAUUUUCUUGUCUUUAGUCAUAUCCUCGUGAAUUUGAGUUAGUAGAUCCAAAAUUUCUUUGGCACUCAAGCAUCCUGAGACUUGAUAGAACUGAUUCUUUCCUAUGCUGCAAUGUAGAAUAUUUAUUGCUCUAUUGUUUAUCUCUAUUAUUGCAGCAUCUUCAGUCGUGAAUUCCUCCUUAGUCUUGUGUCCUCUAGUUCCAUCAUGCAUGAUCUUCAUGGAAAUUAGUGGUCCGUUCAUCGUAAUUAACUACAACCUGUAGUCCAGAACCUUUAAAUAGGUAUGCAUCUGAUUCUUCCAUGUGACAUAGUGCUCGCCAUUAAACAGAGGAGGCUUAGAGAUCGAUUUCCGUCGGUUUUGUCCUGUAGGUUAUGCAUCUAUUCUGAUCAUCUCUCAAUCUGUUAACCUUUUUAGAGAGAACCUCGCUCUGAUGCCACUUGUUAGGUUGCACGACCUACUACCUAUCCUAUGCGUAUCAUAUUCUCCCUUACGUGGAAAUCACCUGGCUCAAAAGGUGAUAAAAAACAUGACCUACAGACGUGUAUGAUUCCCUAACAACUUCACUACAAUAAUGAGCCCAUUGUAAAUUAAGUUACAAUCUCUCCAACCUAUUUCCUACAACAGCCUUGCUACCCACAGUCUGACUACUAAGCUAUCAUCAAGCUAGACUCUAACUUGAAAUUACAACGCUGGUAUGUACCUUAAUGCUUUUAUGUAAGCAGAUAAAAAUACAACUCGAUAAACUAACCUAAUACAAGACAUCCAGACUUGUGAACUGGAGAACAUUAUAUAGUAAAACAGUUCAUUCAUCCUUCCUCUGGUACAAGGGAUGCAACCCCGAAUUCUUGAAUAUUCUUGGAUAUAACUUCUUCGCUUAAUAUUCUAAAUUCACUACAAGAGAUUAGACUUUUAACAACCACUUUUAAACGACGGUAUAUGAAUCCGGUCGCUAUAAGUAUAUUUGUAACGACUAAAUUCUUCCGGUCGUUGACGUCAAUUUUUAGUUUAACAAUUACGAGAGGAAAAUAUCCGGUCAAUAAAAGUUAGAAUAACCGGUCGUUAUUCAUAACAAUUAAGCGGGAAACGGAAAGCGCUAUAAUUUUCCCAUUAAAUUUCACGGAUCCAAAAUAAUAAACUGCUUUUGUAGAAUUUUCUUUUUGCUACUUUUUAUUCUAUUCAGACUGAGAGCCGCCCCCUCCAAGUCUGCCCUAACACUUACCUCUCAAUCUCGGAUGCCGAGGAUGAAAGCAACACUUGAAGCGCAGGGUCUACAGGCAACACUAGGUUCCAAUCAGCCGUGUAUAUGAUUUAGAGAAUCCAUUUGUACCUCCACUUGGUGAAUCAGAACCAGCAGAAAACACACGGGAGGAACAAUAUUAGCUGAGCUGAAGCAGCAGUAUCUUCAAAUAAAUAGUGUUUAGUCCAUAGUCACUCUGAAUCUUCCUAGCUAUGGCCUAUGGAGGGGAAACAACCUAUGGGGACAUUUAAAGCCAGAGUACUUGGAGAAGGUAGUUAAUGUAAUUUAGGGAAAUAAACUUUCCUGGACCUUGCUAACGGGGGAUGUUUUGUACACCGGGCUGCCUUUUUAGAUUUCUUAUAAGAGAUCUUGAAGUUUGAAGAACCCAUCCAUAGAGAAAGUGUAAAGAAGUAUAAUCAACGGAAAAUGUUGAGGCACGAGAGGAAUGGGUUUCGAGUUUUAGGAGUUGUUUAAAGAUAUUCUCCUUUCAACAUGCUACAAUUCUAGUUUUUCUUUGUCCAAGAGUUAACAAAUAUAAUGUGGUCAUACAAUUUGGAUAAUAUACUUUUGAUAAUGUGAUGCAUCAUUCUUUGUAAUUAACUUUGGAAUUUAUAUGAAUUUGAUCAAUUUGUAAGGUUUCAGAUGUGAGUGUGUGUUAUAGAUUAUUAUAUAUCUUUACCAGAAUAAUCAUACAAAGAUACUGACAAUUAGCAAAGGUGA